UGAGGAAUAUUGGACAAUGGGUUAGCGCCUGAUCCAGCCAUCCCGCGUGAAGGACGACGGCCCUAUGGGUUGUAAACUUCUUUUGUACAGGGAUAAACCUAUCUACGUGUAGAUAGCUGAAGGUACUGUACGAAUAAGCACCGGCUAACUCCGUGCCAGCAGCCGCGGUAAUACGGAGGGUGCAAGCGUUAUCCGGAUUUAUUGGGUUUAAAGGGUCCGUAGGCGGAUGCGUAAGUCAGUGGUGAAAUCUCACAGCUUAACUGUGAAACUGCCAUUGAUACUGCGUGUCUUGAGUAAGGUAGAAGUGGCUGGAAUAAGUAGUGUAGCGGUGAAAUGCAUAGAUAUUACUUAGAACACCAAUUGCGAAGGCAGGUCACUAUGUCUUAACUGACGCUGAUGGACGAAAGCGUGGGGAGCGAACAGGAUUAGAUACCCUGGUAGUCCACGCCGUAAACGAUGCUAACUCGUUUUUGGGCUUUCGGGUUCAGAGACUAAGCGAAAGUGAUAAGUUAGCCACCUGGGGAGUACGUUCGCAAGAAUGAAACUCAAAGGAAUUGACGGGGGCCCGCACAAGCGGUGGAUUAUGUGGUUUAAUUCGAUGAUACGCGAGGAACCUUACCAAGGCUUAAAUGGGAAUUGACAGACGCAGAAAUGUGUUUUUCUUCGGACAAUUUUCAAGGUGCUGCAUGGUUGUCGUCAGCUCGUGCCGUGAGGUGUUAGGUUAAGUCCUGCAACGAGCGCAACCCCUGUUACUAGUUGCUACCAUUAAGUUGAGGACUCUAGUAAGACUGCCUACGCAAGUAGAGAGGAAGGUGGGGAUGACGUCAAAUCAUCACGGCCCUUACGCCUUGGGCCACACACGUAAUACAAUGGCCGGUACAGAGGGCAGCUACACAGCGAUGUGAUGCGAAUCUCGAAAGCCGGUCUCAGUUCGGAUUGGAGUCUGCAACUCGACUCUAUGAAGCUGGAAUCGCUAGUAAUCGCGCAUCAGCCAUGGCGCGGUGAAUACGUUCCCGGGCCUUGUACACACCGCCCGUCAAGCCAUGGAAGUCUGGGGUACCUGAAGUCGGUGACCGUAAAAGGAGCUGCCUAGGGUAAAACAGGUAACUAGGGCU
rnacentral:rRNA from 1 species